rnacentral:lncRNA from 1 species
UUUUUUUAGCUGCUAGUAGUUUAUGUGAGAUAUAAAUCAAAUGAUGUCUGCUUUCUUUCAAAAAAAAUACUCUGAUUUUAUGUGAUGGUAACCAGCUCUCAGAUUAGAUCUGCUCCAUGUAAUCUUAGUAAUCCAAACAACACAAGAUAACUCAUCUAGCUCUCAGAUCAGAUCCAACUUAGUGAACCAAACAACACAAGAUAACUCAUCCAACAAUUCUUCAACUACAU